rnacentral:rRNA from 1 species
UACGGGGGGGGUAAGCGUUGUUCGGAAUUAUUGGGCGUAAAGAGCUCGUAGGCGGCUUGUCGCGUCGGUUGUGAAAGCCCGGGGCUUAACCCCGGGUCUGCAGUCGAUACGGGCAGGCUAGAGUUCGGUAGGGGAGAUCGGAAUUCCUGGUGUAGCGGUGAAAUGCGCAGAUAUCAGGAGGAACACCGGUGGCGAAGGCGGAUCUCUGGGCCGAUACUGACGCUGAGGAGCGAAAGCGUGGGGAGCGAACAGG